rnacentral:rRNA from 1 species
UACGGGGGGGGCAAGCGUUGUUCGGAAUUACUGGGCGUAAAGGGCGCGUAGGCGGCCUGCUAAGUCGGACGUGAAAUCCCCCGGCUCAACCGGGGAACUGCGUCCGAUACUGGUGGGCUCGAAUCCGGGAGAGGGAUGUGGAAUUCCAGGUGUAGCGGUGAAAUGCGUAGAUAUCGGAAAGAACACCAACGGCGAAAGCACUCUGCUGGGCCGACACUGACACUGAGAGACGAAAGCUAGGGGAGCGAAUGGG